rnacentral:rRNA from 1 species
UUAAUGGAGAGUUUGAUCCUGGCUCAGGAUGAACGCUGGCGGCGUGCUUAACACAUGCAAGUCGAACGAUGAAGACCGUGCUUGCACGGUUGGAUUAGUGGCGAACGGGUGAGUAUCACGUGAGUAACCUUCCCUUAACUCUGGGAUAAGCCCGGGAAACUGGGUCUAAUACCGGAUACGACCAGUCCUCGCAUGGGGUGCUGGUGGAAAGAUUUAUCGGUUUUGGAUGGACUCGCGGCCUAUCAGCUUGUUGGUGAGGUAAAGGCUCACCAAGGCGAUGACGGGUAGCCGGCCUGAGAGGGUGACCGGCCACACUGGGACUGAGACACGGCCCAGACUCCUACGGGAGGCAGCAGUGGGGAAUAUUGCACAAUGGGCGAAAGCCUGAUGCAGCGACGCCGCGUGCGGGAUGACGGCCUUCGGGUUGUAAACCGCUUUCAGCAGGGAAGAAGCGCAAGUGACGGUACCUGCAGAAGAAGCGCCGGCUAACUACGUGCCAGCAGCCGCGGUAAUACGUAGGGCGCGAGCGUUAUCCGGAAUUAUUGGGCGUAAAGAGCUCGUAGGCGGUUUGUCACGUCUGCUGUGAAAGCCCGGGGCUCAACCCCGGGUGUGCAGUGGGUACGGGCAGACUAGAGUGCAGUAGGGGAGACUGGAAUUCCUGGUGUAGCGGUGAAAUGCGCAGAUAUCAGGAGGAACACCGAUGGCGAAGGCAGGUCUCUGGGCUGUUACUGACGCUGAGGAGCGAAAGCAUGGGGAGCGAACAGGAUUAGAUACCCUGGUAGUCCAUGCCGUAAACGUUGGGCACUAGGUGUGGGGAACAUUCCACGUUUUCCGCGCCGUAGCUAACGCAUUAAGUGCCCCGCCUGGGGAGUACGGCCGCAAGGCUAAAACUCAAAGGAAUUGACGGGGGCCCGCACAAGCGGCGGAGCAUGCGGAUUAAUUCGAUGCAACGCGAAGAACCUUACCAAGGCUUGACAUGGACCGGACCGCUGCAGAGAUGCAGUUUCCCUUCGGGGUCGGUUCACAGGUGGUGCAUGGUUGUCGUCAGCUCGUGUCGUGAGAUGUUGGGUUAAGUCCCGCAACGAGCGCAACCCCUAUCCUAUGUUGCCAGCACGUUAUGGUGGGGACUCAUGGGAGACUGCCGGGGUCAACUCGGAGGAAGGUGGGGACGACGUCAAAUCAUCAUGCCCCUUAUGUCUUGGGCUUCACGCAUGCUACAAUGGCCGGUACAAUGGGUUGCGAUACUGUGAGGUGGAGCUAAUCCCUAAAAGCCGGUCUCAGUUCGGAUCGAAGUCUGCAACUCGACUUCGUGAAGUUGGAGUCGCUAGUAAUCGCAGAUCAGCAACGCUGCGGUGAAUACGUUCCCGGGCCUUGUACACACCGCCCGUCAAGUCACGAAAGUGGGUAACACCCGAAGCCGGUGGCCUAACCCUUGUGGGGGGAGCCGUCGAAGGUGGGACUCGCGAUUGGGACUAAGUCGUAACAAGGUAGCCGUACCGGAAGGUGCGGCUGGAUCACCUCCUUU